UAUCGACGCUUGGGUACAUGGAGGAGAAGCUUGAAGAACUUCUUGAUAUUGUUAUGUCGAAUUGCAGGUUAAUGACCUUUCCUGAAAAACAACACCUUCGGCAGUUGAUACGGGACCUUCCACCUAAGAAUCUUGAUCGUGUUGUCCAGAUUUUCUGCCGUGGCAAGCAAGUGGAGAGACAUUCCUGCAGUGAGGUGUAUGUUGAUCUAGAA
rnacentral:misc_RNA from 1 species